rnacentral:rRNA from 1 species
CCUACGGGAGGCAGCAGUGGGGAAUAUUGGACAAUGGGCGAAAGCCUGAUCCAGCAAUGCCGCGUGAGUGAUGAAGGCCUUAGGGUUGUAAAGCUCUUUUACCCGGGAAGAUAAUGACUGUACCGGGAGAAUAAGCCCCGGCUAACUCCGUGCCAGCAGCCGCGGUAAUACGGAGGGGGCUAGCGUUAUUCGGAAUUACUGGGCGUAAAGCGUACGUAGGCGGUGGUUCAAGUCAGAGGUGAAAGCCCGGAGCUCAACUCCGGAACUGCCUUUGAAACUAGAUCGCUAGAACAUCGGAGAGGUAAGUGGAAUUCCGAGUGUAGAGGUGAAAUUCGUAGAUAUUCGGAAGAACACCAGUGGCGAAGGCGGCUUACUGGACGAUUGUUGACGCUGAGGUACGAAAGCGUGGGGAGCAAACAGGAUUAGAUACCCUGGUAGUCCACGCCGUAAACGAUGAUAACUAGCUGUUGGGCCUCAUAGAGGCUCAGUGGCGCAGCUAACGCAUUAAGGUUAUCCGCCUGGGGAUACGGUCGCAAAGAUUUAAAAACCUCAAAAUGAAUAGUACGGCGNGAGACGNGCGACGACGACGACGAGGAAGGAGG